rnacentral:rRNA from 1 species
GACGAACAGUGCAAGCGUUAUUCGGAUUUAUUGGGCGUAAAGGGUACGUAGGUUGUUAUUUAAAUAAUGUGCAAAAUGCUAGGGUAUUAACCUUAGACGAAGUUCGUUAAGAUUAUAUAACUUUGAGUUAAGGAGAGGUUGGACCAAAUUCUAGUGUAGUAGUAAAAUGCCUCAAUAUUAGAAUGAAGACCAAGGGCGAAAGCAUCUUUCUGGCUUUAACUGACGCUAAUGUACGGAAGCGUGGGGAGCAAACCGG